rnacentral:rRNA from 1 species
GAUCCUGGCUCAGGAUGAACGCUAGCUACAGGCUUAACACAUGCAAGUCGAGGGGAAACGACAUCGAAAGCUUGCUUUUGAUGGGCGUCGACCGGCGCACGGGUGAGUAACGCGUAUCCAACCUGCCCAUCACUUGGGAAUAACCUUGCGAAAGUAAGACUAAUACCCAACUGAUAUCCCACCGAAGACAUCUGAAUGGGAGUUAAAAGAAUUUAAUUCGGUGGAUGGAUGGGGAGUGCGUCUGAUUAG